rnacentral:rRNA from 1 species
GUGACUGCGUACCUUUUGUAUAAUGGGUCAGCGACUUAUAUUCUGUAGCAAGGUUAACCGAAUAGGGGAGCCGGAGGGAAACCGAGUCUUAAUUGGGCGUUAAGUUGCAGGGUAUAGACCCGAAACCCGGUGAUCUAGCCAUGGGCAGGUUGAAGGUUGGGUAACACUAACUGGAGGACCGAACCGACUAAUGUUGAAAAAUUAGCGGAUGACCUGUGGCUG